rnacentral:rRNA from 1 species
AUUGAACGCUGGCGGCAUGCCUUACACAUGCAAGUCGAAACAGCAGCACGGGAGCAAUCCUGGUGGCGAGUGGCGAACGGGUGAGUAAUAUAUCGGAACGUGCCCAGUCGUGGGGGAUAACGUAGCGAAAGCUACGCUAAUACCGCAUACGAUCUAUGGAUGAAAGGCGGGGGAUCGCAAGACCUCGCGCGAUUGGAGCGGCCGAUAUCAGAUUAGGUAGUUGGUGAGGUAAAGGCUCACCAAGCCGACGAUCUGUAGCUGGUCUGAGAGGACGACCAGCCACACUGGGACUGAGACACGG